GAUGAACGCUGGCGGCGUGCUUAACACAUGCAAGUCGAACGGAAAGGCCCAAGCUUGCUUGGGUACUCGAGUGGCGAACGGGUGAGUAACACGUGGGUGAUCUGCCCUGCACUUCGGGAUAAGCCUGGGAAACUGGGUCUAAUACCGGAUAGGACCACAUUUUGGAUGGUGUGGUGGAAAGUUUUUCGGUGUGGGAUGAGCUCGCGGCCUAUCAGCUUGUUGGUGGGGUAAUGGCCUACCAAGGCGUCGACGGGUAGCCGGCCUGAGAGGGUGUACGGCCACAUUGGGGCUGAGAGACGGCCCAGACUCCUACGGGGGGCAGCAGUGGGGAAUAUUGCACAAUGGGCGCAAGCCUGAUGCAGCGACGCCGCGUGGGGGAUGACGGCCUUCGGGUUGUAAACUCCUUUCGCUAGGGACGAGGCGUUUUUGUGACGGUACCUGGAGAAGAAGCACCGGCUAACUACGUG
rnacentral:rRNA from 1 species